GUUUCUUCAGCCAGCUUAGUGAUGAAACAACCGGUAACACUGGGCGACCCUUCUACCGAUGAAGGCGCCGUUCAAGUCCAGUGGAACACUGGGCCGCUAGACAUUUUAAGCUCGGAAAAGGUGUGUGCCUCACCGGAAAAGAAAGCUUCACCCAAAUUACAAAACAUCUCGAAGAUUGCCGAUAAAGCUGAAACGCUGGUAACGGCUGUAAACAGGAAUCAUGGAAACGGUCCAAUGACAGCCAAAAAAAAAAAUUGUUGUACUCUUCAGUGAAUCAGCCUGAACGAAGUAUCCCGUGGGUCUUCUAGAUGUACGCGAUCAAUAAACCUUCAAAACCACUACUAGAUGGCCCACAUACUAUCAAAAUAGGAAAAAUGUUUGCGUCAGGACGGUCCUUAUGCUGGAUCGCCGUCGAGUCCACUUCAGUCGCAUCGUGUGCGACGACAACUAAUUUGGAUAUCUCCAUCGGAGUUGACACCUCUCUCAGUGCGGUCUUCUGGCACACCCGUGGUACGCGGUCUCCCCUGAGACCUUUAAUUAAUAUUGAUGCCCACCGAGUAGGCACAAUUCAGGUAGCGGCUUUUAACAAUGAAAUCGGUAUCGACAACUUGUGUUCGAUCUCCUUAUAGCCCCAGCGAGAAAUCACUAGUGGAAACUAGUCUGUCUUAAGAGGCCCGUAAACGCCUUUCUACUGAGUUAGCGAUGUGCCUUUAAAUCCGUCUAAUUCGGGGAUGAAACUGGGGCAUUAGCCGGGUCCCACUGACCAUGAUAUAAUAGAGCCUAAAUUAUUUUACAUGUUCGCUGUCUAAGCGAUAUAUUUACCUUUUUGGCCACUAUAUAUAUAAUAACGUAUACUUACCGCGUGCAGUUUCGUAAUGGAUAGUGAAGAAUCGCCAAUAGAGGUAGGCCCUAAAUAACGGGCUUGUACAAUGCAGAAGAUAAUUAAUACUACAUUCUCAGCGAUAUAGGUCGUUAUGGCAGAUUUCCAAAGUUCCAAACGAAGUCCUAAAUUUGUUCCGUUACAAUUUGCUGACAUCAUAAUUAAAUUAUCAGCAAUAAAUUAUGUGUUUUUUUUUUUUAUUUUAGGUGACUAAAUGCAAUAAUUCCUUUUAUGAUUCUUUUCAUAGAGUACACGAACAUUACCAGUGAUGGGCAAUAUAUAGACUUCAUAAGCUUAAAAAGCGAUACGUACAGCCUUAUUUUCGCCCACAUCAAUAGCAGAGAGAUGACUAGCUGAGAAUUCUACAUAUCAAGCCAGCCGCGUCUGUUAAAGCGUUAAGCUUCUUAAUUUACAUUAGAAUCGCACUGCAUCACACGAGUAUGUUUCAGAAAGAUUCAGGCCCAACAUGCGAAUAUCUCUACAAUCAGUGCGUAUGUAUAACAGAUGUCCUACCCAUUGAACCAUUUAGCUAUCGCCGACAGGCUAGAGUUGUUCCGUAAUUCGAAAGUGGGUAGAGCGCGUCAAUAUAA